CAGGAUGUAGCUUACAUAAAGCCUCUCGCUUACGCCGGGAAGACAUCUAAUUAACUAAGAUCACCCUGA
rnacentral:tRNA from 1 species